GGGGGCGAAAUAGGAUCGACGUGCCUAAUAAAAAGAUUGCUUUUACUCGGGAUGAUUCCGCCGAUGGCUUUUGCCAUAUGGGUCAAAACAAAGAAACGCAAACGAUAAUAAUCGUUCUGUAGGUCGUUUAGCUUUAGCAGCUUAACCCCUACGCGGCUGGAGGGUGUGCCGGGCAACAGAAAAACCCUCGCU
rnacentral:tmRNA from 1 species